rnacentral:rRNA from 1 species
CCUACGGGGGGCAGCAGUAAGGAAUAUUGGUCAAUGGACGAAAGUCUGAACCAGCCAUCCCGCGUGCAGGAUGAAAGCCCUAUGGGUUGUAAACUGCUUUUAGCAGAGAAGAAAAGCUUUCAUUAAUGAGAGUCUGACGGUAUCUGCAGAAUAAGCACCGGCUAACUCCGUGCCAGCAGCCGCGGUAAUACGGAGGGUGCGGGAGUUAUCCGGUUUUACUGGGUCGAAGGCGUAGGUAUACGUCAGAUUAGAAAUCUUGUCGCUUAACGAUAAGAUUGCAAAUGAUACUGGUACUCUUGAAUUGGGUUGAGGUUAGCGGAAUGUGACAUGUAGCGGUGAAAUGCAUAGAUAUGUCAUGGAACACCAAUUGCGAAGGCAGCUAACUGGGCCUUGAUUGACGCUGAGGCACGAAAGCGUGGGUAGCGAACAGGAUUAGAUACCCUGGUAGUC